CUGGGCCUUGGAAAAAAGGGGCAAAGUGUAGUUCCUUUACCAACAAAAGUGGAAUGCUUGAGUGGGCUCACUAUUAAAAUGGUUGCUUUGGCCUCUGAACACUCAAUUGGUGUUACUGAUGGAGGUGAGGCAUUAAGUUGGGGAGGGGGAGGUUCUGGACAACUUGGUCAUGGCAAUCAAUCAAGCAUCUUAGGGUUUUUGAGGAGCACCAGUGAGUAUACACCAAGGCGUAUUACAAAAC
rnacentral:misc_RNA from 1 species